rnacentral:rRNA from 1 species
CCGCGGUAAUACGUAGGGUGCAAGCGUUAAUCGGAAUUACUGGGCGUAAAGCGUGCGCAGGCGGUUGUGCAAGACAGAUGUGAAAUCCCCGGGCUUAACCUGGGAACUGCAUUUGUGACUGCACGGCUAGAGUACGGCAGAGGGGGAUGGAAUUCCGCGUGUAGCAGUGAAAUGCGUAGAUAUGCGGAGGAACACCGAUGGCGAAGGCAGUCCCCUGGGCCUGUACUGACGCUCAUGCACGAAAGCGUGGGGAGCAAACAGGAUUAGAAACCCCAGUAG